UAGCCAUUAACGUCUCUGUCACUUUCUCUCAACUCUUAUUCUUCCUCUCCUUCUCUGAUUCAUCGUCUUCUACCUGCGAUUUGUUUUUUUUUGUUUUUUUUCUUCCCGAAAUCCCUAAAACCUUGGAUGUGAUCUGAGGUGUUUUCUUUUUUCUAAUGGAGGGUUAUUUCAGGUUCGGUUAGCUUUUUUGGCUACUUUGGUCCCAGCUUCCACCUUCGCAGUUCGCCAUUGUAGUAUUCUACAUUAAUUGGUUUUUUUCUUCUACAAGAGAUGCCAUUAAAGCAAGCUCUGCUCAAAAGUCUCUCUCCAGUUGCAGAAGAGGUUCUACAUUGGAUGCUCAAGUAAACAGAAAACUACAGAAUUAUGCUUUACUUUGAAAUAUGAUUUUCA